CCUACGGGAGGCAGCAGUGGGGAAUAUUGCACAAUGGGGGAAACCCUGAUGCAGCGACGCCGCGUGAGUGAAGAAGUAUUUCGGUAUGUAAAGCUCUAUCAGCAGAGAAGAAAAUGACGGUAUCUGACUAAGAAGCACCGGCUAAAUACGUGCCAGCAGCCGCGGUAAU
rnacentral:rRNA from 1 species